rnacentral:rRNA from 1 species
GACGAACCGAGCGAACGUUAUUCGGAAUCACUGGGCUUAAAGGGCGCGUAGGCGGGUCGUCAAGUCAGGGGUGAAAGCCCGCAGCUCAACUGCGGAAGUGCCUUUGAUACUGGCGGCCUUGAGGGAGGUAGGGGCGUGCGGAACUUCCGGUGGAGCGGUGAAAUGCGUAGAUAUCGGAAGGAACACCGGUGGCGAAAGCGGCGCGCUGGACCUUUUCUGACGCUGAGGCGCGAAAGCCAGGGGAGCGAACGGG